GCAGUAGCCGCGGUAAUACGUAGGGUGCAAGCGUUAAUCGGAAUUACUGGGCGUAAAGCGUGCGCAGGCGGUUUGUUAAGACAGAUGUGAAAUCCCCGGGCUCAACCUGGGAACUGCAUUUGUGACUGGCAAGCUAGAGUGUGGCAGAGGGGGGUGGAAUUCCGCGUGUAGCAGUGAAAUGCGUAGAUAUGCGGAGGAACACCGAUGGCGAAGGCAGCCCCCUGGGACAACACUGACGCUGAGGCACGAAAGCGUGGGGAGCAAACAGGAUUAGAUACCCGCGUAGUCCCUGUCUCUUAUAU
rnacentral:rRNA from 1 species